UCCCUGUUUAUCUUUGACUAAAAAUUUACUGCUACAAUUUAGUUUUGAAACUUCUCGAGUAGAUAAAACCCAUGUGGCUUUUGUUCUGGGUAAAUGCUGGCAACUGAUGUUGGCAGACCACAUCUUUUACAUUGACAUUUUAGUAGGCAAACCAGGGCUCCCUUGUUGGAGGUGUUUGGAAUUUGGAUUCGAGUGGGUGUGUCUUUGGAGCUACUUUUUGUUGUUGGCAAAGGGUUUGUUAGGAGCCAAAAACAGCUGGUUACUCUUGGAGGUGUGCUGUUUUGGCUGUUACAUUGUGUGUUUGGUUUGUAUGGAAUACAGUGGUUCUUUAGGGAAACAAGGAAUAAUUGACAUUUCUCUGGGAUAAGAUUAAAUGUUUAGCUUCUUCUUGGACUUCUUUGCCAAACAUUUUUAAUGACCUUCCUUUCUUAUUGUGUGUUGAGUACAUUAUGUGUUUUGUUUGAUGUUAAGGAACUAAUUUUGAUGAACUUAUCAUCCGUCUUUAGGAACUUUCUUCUAUUUUUGUUGAUAAAGUUUGCCUUUAUCAUAUUAAAAAGUUUGAAAUACUUCAAAGUGGAUUAGUCUUGGAUGGUCGAUUACAAUUUGGGGAUUAGUCUUAGGUGGUAAAUUACAAUUUAGGGCCCAUUUACACUUUGAUCCCCACACUUCCGGUUUUGCCUAUCUUAUUAUCCCUGUAGUUAAUUAACAGUCUCAAACCCAAAUCGAGAUUUCCAUCAAUAUUAACAGUCUCAAAUCCAAAUUGGACCUGAUUGCAAGCGUCAGUAAACUACAGGGAUACAACUGAAUUGAAAGUGUGGGGACCAAUAUGGAGAAUGGCCCAAAAUACAUGAACUAAUAUUGUAUUUUGGCCGUCUUACAUAUGACCUCCAAUAAUGCUCUUCCCCCUCCCUGUUGCUCACACAGACACGUAUAUAAGUUGCACCCAUCCAUUUAACUGUAUAUCUGCAAAUAAUUUAACUGUAUAUCUGCAAAAUUUGUAACCCACAUUGAUGGAUAGUGAUCCAAAGAUCUUCUACUAACUUGGAGUAUGGAUUGUUGUCUUUAAAAAUAGUACUCAAAGCUGACACUUACUAAUUAGAAAAAUCAUUAAUCAGUCUUGUCUUAAUCCUCCAAUAGGUAUGUGGCAUCGGCGGAAUAUUCUCUUUUUCAGUCUAACAAAAUCCAUAUUAUCUCAUCAUUUGACUUCUCUCUGAUUCCCCACUCUGAUCCCUUACUCUCAUUUACAUCCUUAUGUAUCUUUAGAUUUUAGUCAAGUACUGAAUUGAAUAAAAAAUAGAAAAUUAAAAGGUCUGAAAUCUAUGCAGGGUUCAGCAAUAUACUUCCAAAUGAUCUAUAUUUCUCCUGAGUUCACUGUUUUUCUUAGCGCUCUGACUGCUCCUGUUGUCAUGCAGGAUGAAAAAGUUGAGGCUAAACCAUUUGUAAUAGGUGUAGUAAAAUCUUAUACAAAUGUAGUUUGGAAAAUGCUUUGACAGUGCUGGACAUGAACUAGCAAACUGUGCUCAAUAGGCCAGAGCUCAAAGGCAUGAUUCAUUUGUAGAGCAUGGAGGAAGAAGAAAGUGAGCCUGUACAAUCCCGUAUUUGG